rnacentral:rRNA from 1 species
UGGAGGAAAAGSUAGGGGAUCGCAAGACCUUGCGCUCUUGGAGCGGCCGAUGUCUGAUUAGCUAGUUGGUGAGGUAAAGGCUUACCAAGGCGACGAUCAGUAGCUGGUCUGAGAGGACGACCAGCCACACUGGGACUGAGACACGGCCCAGACUCCUACGGGAGGCAGCAGUGGGGAAUUUUGGACAAUGGGGGAAACCCUGAUCCAGCCAUGCCGCGUGAGUGAAGAAGGCCUUCGGGUUGUAAAGCUCUUUCAGCCGGAACGAAACGGUCACGGCUAAUACCUGUGACUACUGACGGUACCGGAAGAAGAAGCACCGGCUAACUACGUGCCAGCAGCCGCGGUAAUACGUAGGGUGCAAGCGUUAAUCGGAAUUACUGGGCGUAAAGCGUGCGCAGGCGGUUUUGUAAGUCAGAUGUGAAAUCCCCGGGCUUAACCUGGGAACUGCGUUUGAAACUACCAAAAGCUAGA